UGCUUUGCGCAGUGGCAGUAUCGUAGCCAAUGAGGUUUAUCUGAGGUGCAAUUAUUGCUAAUUGAAACUUCUCCCAAUACUCCGCCAUAACAACUUGCAAUACAGUCGGCACUGGCAAUUUUUGACAGUCUCUAUGGAGA
rnacentral:snRNA from 1 species